UACGUAGGUGGCAAGCGUUGUCCGGAUUUACUGGGCGUAAAGUGUGCGCAGGCGGCAGAGCAAGUCGAGUGUGAAAGCCCCGGGCUUAACUUGGGAAUUGCGCUCGAAACUACUUUGCUGGAGUGUGGCAGAGGAAGGUGGAAUUCCACGUGUAGCGGUGAAAUGCGUAGAGAUGUGGAGGAACACCAAUGGCGAAGGCAGCCUUCUGGGCCAACACUGACGCUCAUGCACGAAAGCGUGGGGAGCAAACAGG
rnacentral:rRNA from 1 species